AGGGUUGUAGUUAAAUAUAACAUUUGAUUUGCACUCAAAAAGUACUAAACAUUUAGUCUUCCUU
rnacentral:tRNA from 1 species